UUGUUUUUCCUCUAGCUUGUACAAUUUCCCUUACUUUUGUUAAGUCCUACUCUUUCUACCUCAUAUUUUAGAUUUUCAGUCUUUUUUAUCUUCAAUACUCGUAGUAUUGAAUGAACUUAAAGGCUUUUUGGAGGACUGUAUUGUCAGCUGAAAGACUUCUAAGACUUCUGUGAAUUGCCAGGUUUCCUAUCAGAGACCUGCACCUGUACUGGGGAAUCACCUGCACUGAAAUUUUGUGUCCUAAUGGGAGCAAGGCUACCUUUCUCAUUACAGAGUUUUUACUUUUAAUUAGCUCCUUCCUCUUGCUGACACCUGCAGUAUUUGGCUCCUGGUUGGGAGGCUGGAGCACUCGAUGCCUUCCCGGUUCUUCCCUUGGUGAGCCAGUUGGAGAAGGAAGAACUAAACCACCUCUCGCAUCUGAAAAAGUAGCAUAGGAUAUCAUACGUGCAGAAAGGUGUCUGUGGGGAACCACAUUUUUUUCAUCAAUAUCUAUACGUGUAUUGCUCCUUUAACCAGAAGAAAUGUGAAGAGAGCAAAAUCAGACACUUACCUGAUUAAACUCUUCUGAUCCGAAGAACUGAAUAUCAACUUACUAAUGGUAAUAGGCUGCAAUUCGUAUGCAGCCUCCUCUCUGGGGAAAAAAAAAAAGAGAGAGAGAAAAGAAAGAAAAAGAGAGAAAAGAAGAG